AGAGUUUGAUCCUGGCUCAGGACGAACGCUGGCGGCGUGCCUAACACAUGCAAGUCGAGCGGAGACAGUGAGUAGCUUGCUAUGAGCUGUUUUAGCGGCGGACGGGUGAGUAACGCGUGAGCAACCUUUCCCAGACAGGGGAAUAACACACCGAAAGGUGUACUAAUACCGCAUAAGACCACGGGAUCAUAUGGUUCUGGGGUAAAAGAUUUAUCGGUUUGGGGUAGGCUCGCGUCCGAUUAGGUAGUUGGUGAGGUAACGG
rnacentral:rRNA from 1 species